GUAGGGUUGCUGGCUUUCUAAGAAAGGAAGAGACCUGAGCAAGCAUCUUAGCACACUCGGCCCCCUUGCCAUGUGAUACACCUCAGGACUCUGUACAGAGCCCCCGCUAGCAAGAAGGUUUUCACCAGAUGGGCCCCCUCAACCUUGGAUUUCCCAGCCUCCAGAACUGAAAGAGGAAUACAAAAAUGAAUAAGAUCUUUGUCUUCAAAGCAUUCGCCAUCUAGAGAGACACAGAGAUGAGGAGCCCAAGAGAUGAAACUGGAGAGCUCCUAAAACCCAGGAGGCUCUUAAAACUCCUCUACCAACAUCUCCCCUCCAUGAAAAAAGGAAGGGUCAGCCCAAGAAGCAGGAAGCAGCAGUGCAGGGAGAAAAGAGUACUGGAUUUAGAGUCAGACACCCAGGUUCAAGUUCUAGUUUGCAGUUCAUAGAAGCAGUCUUCCCAGCUUGAUUUUAUUCACAGAAGAAAAAAGGCACCCCUGGGAAGUGCCUGACAAAAGCUUGAAGAGAGAAGAGGCUCUGCUGUGGUUUGAAUGCGUCCCCCAAAGUUCAUGUGUUGGAAACUUGAUCCCCGAUGCAGCAGUACUGGGAGGAUGCCCUUUGCCAUGUUAUGAUCCUGCAGGAAGACCCUCACCAGAUAUGGCCCCUUGAUCUUGGACUUCCCAGCCUCCAGAAUUGUGAGAAAUAAAUUUCUGUUUUUAAUAAAGUUCCUAGUUUGUUGCAUUCUGUUAUAGCUGCACAAAGCAGACUGAGACAGGCUCCUUUACUCAUGGUGAAGAAGGUAAGUCCCUUAUGACUUUAUCAAAUAAAAAUAAUGACUACAGGUAAAGGGCUAGAAAUUUUUAGACAAAAGGCCAGUGGGUAUCACAGGGAGCUUUCCAGUUGGCUGUUUUGGCAGAAUGGCAAGACUUUCCUUCCUCAUUCUCAAAGCUUCCUGACAUUUACAGCUUUGGAAGGUGGUGAGUGAGAAAAUUUUCCAAGGGACUCUAGACAUUCUCAGAAUCCCCUGGUUCCACACUUGCUAGAUUAUGGAAGAGAGAAGAGACACCUAAAAGGAAAAAAAAAAGGAAGGAGAAAGGGGAAUCAGCUCUUUAGUCCCCUAAGACCCACUUGGCUGUGGCUCCUGGCUGCCAAGGGUUGCCUGUGAGUGGUUCUCCAGGCAUGAACUGUGACCACCCUGCUAUAGAUUAAUCCUUUCCUCCUACAAAGUUGGUCUUCAGUAUACUUAAUGAGGGAGAAAUGGGAUGUCUUUUUUUCCUUCCAGAAUCACUCUAGUAUGACCUGCAGAAUGAUUAGCGUGGCUCAGCCUCAGUUGGGAUAUCAUGGCUUAAAUUAUUCCUAUUAGUUUCCAGCUGACCUUGGAACACAAGCAUUACAUGUGAUUUCAAUGAAACUUUAGACUUUGUUGUUCUCAGUUAACUAGUGAAACAGUUGAACCUUCCCAUGACUUGUGGUAAUUAUAAUAAAGGGUAAGUAUUAUCACAAAUAAUGCAAACCGAUUUACAAGAUGGCAAAGUGAUGUUCUGGAAGUUGUGCGCAAAGACAAAAUGUGAACUGAACACUUAGAAAAAAUGUAGUGCCAUUCAAAAGGUUGAUGCAUUACUGCCAAAAUACAACCCCACCUGACAGUAUUACUUUACAGUGAGUUUUGGCACAACUCACUGGUUACAAGAAACAUUGUGUUAACAGGAAAAGCCACUUUAAAACUCUGUUUGAUACUUAAAGCUCUCAAAUACACUCUAAACGUUUAAACCAACACUCCAAACUGAUUAAAGCAUUUAUGGAAAAUAAAAGUGUUUUGCCAGUGGGGAAAGGAUGAGGAAUCUUUGUUGUUGUUGCUUGUUUGUUUGUUUUUAUCGAGGUGUAAAACAAAACCCCCAAAUUUGACAGAUUUCCCAGUUCUAAUUAAGUUUUAUGAGGUUAAGAGUUUAUGCCACCCUUCUCAAACAAUUUAUCCAAACUCAAUGGAUUUUCAAAUCACAUAUAAUGACCCUUCUGGCCUAGGAGAGGGAUGGUGUCCUCUUGAUGGCCAUAUUCCUACUGUGGAAUAUAAUUCCUGGCACAUAACAGAUGCUUAAUAAAUGUGUAAUGAAGGUGGGAACUGUGCCUCAUAAUUCACUUUGAAGCACAUCUAGCAACUCAUCAUAUUUAAAUAGUCAUUUCAGAGAUGUUUCAUAUACUCUGUUUUCUAGGACUGGAGUGUCAUAUCUCAGCUUCUCGCCCCUUGAUCUCCAUAUGCCUGGUAAGCUCUUCUUCAUCUUCAGAUCACUUUCUUUGAAGAUUCCCCAACUUGUGAUGCCUAAGGCCCUGGAACCAGUCUCAAUUUGAUUUCUGGUUCUGCUACUUAUAAACUUUGCCACCUUGAUGAAUGGCUUGAUUGUUUUGUGUCUCAGUUUCUCCAUAUGUGAAGUGUAUCUUCAUGAGGAUUUGGUAGGUUUAUGUGUAUCAUAUGAUGAUCACUAAAUACAUGUCAGUUCUUACUGCCUUCAGUACUUGCAAUGUACUGCAAUUUUUUGUUUGCUUGUUUUCCUUUCACUCAAUUACAACUCACACAGAGUAGGACUUCUAUCUUUUACCUUUGUGCUCCUGGGUUUACAAAAUGCAGACUCUGAACUUGGUAAGAAAGCAAUACAUUUGCUGAUUUACAUAGUCCAAAACCAUGCCAUUCCCUGAGAGGCCAGUGAGGCCAAUCUUUUCCUUAUUCUUUAGGGAUGUCCU
rnacentral:lncRNA from 1 species